GACGUAGGGCGCGAGCGUUGUCCGGAUUUAUUGGGCGUAAAGAGCUCGUAGGCGGCUUGUCGCGUCGACUGUGAAACCCGCGGCUCAACUGUGGGCUUGCAGUCGAUACUGGAUGGCUAGAGUCUGGUAGGGGGGAUCUGGAAUUCCUGGUGUAGCGGUGGAAUGCGCGAGAUAUCAGGAGGAACACCGGUGGCGAAGGCGGGAUCCUGGGCCAGUACUGACGCUGAGGAGCGAAAGCGUGGGGAGCAAACAGG
rnacentral:rRNA from 1 species